GACGAACGCUGGCGGCGUGCUUAACACAUGCAAGUCGAACGAUGAACCGGUUUCGGCCGGGGAUUAGUGGCGAACGGGUGAGUAACACGUGGGCAAUCUGCCCUGCACUCUGGGAUAAGCCCGGGAAACUGGGUCUAAUACCGGAUACGACACUCCGAGGCAUCUUGGGGUGUGGAAAGUUCCGGCGGUGCAGGAUGAGCCCGCGGCCUAUCAGCUUGUUGGUGGGGUAAUGGCCUACCAAGGCGACGACGGGUAGCCGGCCUGAGAGGGUGACCGGCCACACUGGGACUGUGACACGGCCCAGACUCCUACGGGAGGCAGCAGUGGGGAAUAUUGCACAAUGGGCGAAAGCCUGAUGCAGCGACGCCGCGUGAGGGAUGACGGCCUUCGGGUUGUAAACCUCUUUCAGCAGGGAAGAAGCGAAAGUGACGGUACCUGCAGAAGAAGCACCGGCUAACUACGUG
rnacentral:rRNA from 1 species